rnacentral:rRNA from 1 species
GAUGAACGCUGACAGAAUGCUUAACACAUGCAAGUCAACUUGAAUUUGGGUUUUUAACUUAGGUUUGGGCGGCGGACGGGUGAGUAACGCGUAAAGAACUUGCCUCACAGCUAGGGACAACAUUUGGAAACGAAUGCUAAUACCUAAUAUUAUGAUAAUAGGGCAUCCUAUAAUUAUGAAAGCUAUAAGCGCUGUGAGAGAGCUUUGCGUCCCAUUAGCUAGUUGGAGAGGUAACGGCUCACCAAGGCGAUGAUGGGUAGCCGGCCUGAGAGGGUGAUCGGCCACAAGGGGACUGAGACACGGCCCUUACGCCUACGGGAGGCAGCAGUGGGGAAUAUUGGACAAUGGACCGAGAGUCUGAUCCAGCAAUUCUGUGUGCACGAUGAAGUUUUUCGGAAUGUAAAGUGCUUUCAGUUGGGAAGAAACAAAUGACGGUACCAACAGAAGAAGUGACGGCUAAAUACGUG